UUUCCGUAGGUGAACCUGCGGAGGGAUUCAUUACCGGGACUUCACUCCAAACCCCUGUGACAUACCACUUGUUGCCUCGGCGGAUCAGCCCGCUCCCGGUAAAACGGGACGGCCCGCCAGAGGACCCCUAAACUCUGUUUCUAUAUGUAACUUCUGAGUAAAACUAUAAAUAAAUCAAAACUUUCAACAACGGAUCUCUUGGUUCUGGCAUCGAUGAAGAACGCAGCAAAAUGCGAUAAGUAAUGUGAAUUGCAGAAUUCAGUGAAUCAUCGAAUCUUUGAACGCACAUUGCGCCCGCCAGUAUUCUGGCGGGCAUGCCUGUUCGAGCGUCAUUUCAACCCUCAAGCACAGCUUGGUGUUGGGACUCGCGUUAAUUCGCGUUCCCCAAAUUGAUUGGCGGUCACGUCGAGCUUCCAUAGCGUAGUAGUAAAACCCUCGUUACUGGUAAUCGUCGCGGCCACGCCGUUAAACCCCAACUUCUGAAUGUUGACCUCGGAUCAGGUAGGAAUACCCGCUGAACUUAAGCAUAUCAAUAGGCCGGGAGGAA
rnacentral:rRNA from 1 species